rnacentral:rRNA from 1 species
UACGUAGGGUGCAAGCGUUGUCCGGAAUUAUUGGGCGUAAAGAGCUUGUAGGCGGUUUGUCGCGUCUGCUGUGAAAUUUCGGGGCUCAACCCCCGAACUUGCAGUGGGUACGGGCAGACUAGAGUGUGGUAGGGGAGACUGGAAUUCCUGGUGUAGCGGUGGAAUGCGCAGAUAUCAGGAGGAACACCGAUGGCGAAGGCAGGUCACUGGGCCGCAACUGACGCUGAGGCACGAAAGCUAGGGGAGCAAACAGG